rnacentral:rRNA from 1 species
UACAUAGGGCUCAAGCGUUGUUCGGAUUCAUUGGGCGUAAAGGGCGUGUAGGCGGUGUGGUAAGUCGGGUGUGAAAUCUCAGAGCUCAACUCUGAAACUGCACUCGAUACUGCUUUGCUAGAGGACUGGAGAGGAGAUUGGAAUUCACGGUGUAGCAGUGAAAUGCGUAGAUAUCGGGAGGAAGACCAGUGGCGAAGGCGGAUCUCUGGGCCGAUAUUGACGCUGAGGAGCGAAAGCGUGGGGAGCGAACAGG